AUGCAGUCAUAUCACGUUGAAACAUCGAAUCAUGUACGAUAAUCGAAGUUAAGCAACAUCGAGUCUGGUCAGUACUCAGAGGGGUGACCGUUUGGGAAUACCAGGUGCUGUAA